rnacentral:rRNA from 1 species
UUGAACGCUGGCGGCAGGCCUAACACAUGCAAGUCGAACGGUAACAGGAAACAGCUUGCUGUUUCGCUGACGAGUGGCGGACGGGUGAGUAAUGUCUGGGAAACCGCCUGAUGGAGGGGGAUAACUACUGGAAACGGUAGCUAAUACCGCAUAACGUCGCAAGACCAAAGAGGGGGACCUUCGGGCCUCUUGCCAUCGGAUGUGCCCAGAUGGGAUUAGCUUGUUGGUGGGGUAACGGCUCACCAAGGCGACGAUCCCUAGCUGGUCUGAGAGGAUGACCAGCCACACUGGAACUGAGACACGGUCCAGACUCCUACGGGAGGCAGCAGUGGGGAAUAUUGCACAAUGGGCGCAAGCCUGAUGCAGCCAUGCCGCGUGUAUGAAGAAGGCCUUCGGGUUGUAAAGUACUUUCAGCGGGGAGGAAGGGAGUAAAGUUAAUACCUUUGCUCAUUGACGUUACCCGCAGAAGAAGCACCGGCUAACUCCGUG